CCUACGGGUGGCAGCAGUGGGGAAUAUUGCACAAUGGGCGCAAGCCUGAUGCAGCCAUGCCGCGUGUGUGAAGAAGGCCUUCGGGUUGUAAAGCACUUUCAGCGGGGAGGAAGGCGGUGAGGUUAAUAACCCCAUCGAUUGACGUUACCCGCAGAAGAAGCACCGGCUAACUCCGUGCCAGCAGCCGCGGUAAUACGGAGGGUGCAAGCGUUAAUCGGAAUUACUGGGCGUAAAGCGCACGCAGGCGGUCUGUCAAGUCGGAUGUGAAAUCCCCGGGCUCAACCUGGGAACUGCAUUCGAAACUGGCAGGCUAGAGUCUUGUAGAGGAGGGUAGAAUUCCAGGUGUAGCGGUGAAAUGCGUAGAGAUCUGGAGGAAUACCGGUGGCGAAGGCGGCCCCCUAGACAAAGACUGACGCUCAGGUGCGAAAGCGUGGGGAGCAAACAGGAUUAGAUACCCUUGUAGUC
rnacentral:rRNA from 1 species